UACGUAGGGUGCGGGCGUUGUCCGGAAUUAUUGGGCGUAAAGGGCUCGUAGGCGGUUUGUCGCGUCGGGAGUGAAAACCCAGGGCUUAACUCUGGGCUUGCUUUCGAUACGGGCAGACUAGAGGUAUGCAGGGGAGAACGGAAUUCCUGGUGUAGCGGUGAAAUGCGCAGAUAUCAGGAGGAACACCGGUGGCGAAGGCGGUUCUCUGGGCAGUACCUGACGCUGAGGAGCGAAAGUGCGGGGAGCGAACAGG
rnacentral:rRNA from 1 species